rnacentral:rRNA from 1 species
UACGUAGGGUGCAAGCGUUAUCCGGAAUUAUUGGGCGUAAAGAGCUCGUAGGCGGUUUGUCGCGUCUGCUGUGAAAACUGGGGGGCUCAACCCCCCAGCCUGCAGUGGGUACGGGCAGACUAGAGUGCGGUAGGGGGAGAUUGGAAUUCCUGGUGUAGCGGUGGAAUGCGCAGAUAUCAGGAGGAACACCGAUGGCGAAGGCAGAUCUCUGGGCAUUAACUGACGCUGAGGAGCGAAAGCAUGGGGAGCGAACAGG